rnacentral:rRNA from 1 species
UACGUAGGGUGCAAGCGUUGUCCGGAAUUAUUGGGCGUAAAGAGCUCGUAGGCGGUUUGUCGCGUCUGCUGUGAAAACGCGAGGCUCAACCUCGCGCCUGCAGUGGGUACGGGCAGACUAGAGUGCGGUAGGGGAGAUUGGAAUUCCUGGUGUAGCGGUGGAAUGCGCAGAUAUCAGGAGGAACACCGAUGGCGAAGGCGGAUCUCUGGGCCGUAACUGACGCUGAGGAGCGAAAGCGUGGGGAGCGAACAGG